CGUUCCGGUGGCCUAGUGGUUAGAGCGUCUGCCUCCAAUUCGGGAGGUCGUGGGUUAGAUGCCCGGCCGAAUGA